AGCGGUAGCACAGAGAGCUUGCUCUCGGGUGACGAGCGGCGGACGGGUGAGUAAUGUCUGGGAAACUGCCUGAUGGAGGGGGAUAACUACUGGAAACGGUAGCUAAUACCGCAUAACGUCGCAAGACCAAAGAGGGGGACCUUCGGGCCUCUUGCCAUCAGAUGUGCCCAGAUGGGAUUAGCUAGUAGGUGGGGUAAUGGCUCACCUAGGCGACGAUCCCUAGCUGGUCUGAGAGGAUGACCAGCCACACUGGAACUGAGACACGGUCCAGACUCCUACGGGAGGCAGCAGUGGGGAAUAUUGCACAAUGGGCGCAAGCCUGAUGCAGCCAUGCCGCGUGUAUGAAGAAGGCCUUCGGGUUGUAAAGUACUUUCAGCGAGGAGGAAGGCAUUGUGGUUAAUAACCACAGUGAUUGACGUUACUCGCAGAAGAAGCACCGGCUAACUCCGUGCCAGCAGCCGCGGUAAUACGGAGGGUGCAAGCGUUAAUCGGAAUUACUGGGCGUAAAGCGCACGCAGGCGGUCUGUCAAGUCGGAUGUGAAAUCCCCGGGCUCAACCUGGGAACUGCAUUCGAAACUGGCAGGCUAGAGUCUUGUAGAGGGGGGUAGAAUUCCAGGUGUAGCGGUGAAAUGCGUAGAGAUCUGGAGGAAUACCGGUGGCGAAGGCGGCCCCCUGGACAAAGAC
rnacentral:rRNA from 1 species